rnacentral:rRNA from 1 species
AUUGAACGCUGGCGGCAUGCCUUACACAUGCAAGUCGAACGGCAGCACGGGAGCAAUCCUGGUGGCGAGUGGCGAACGGGUGAGUAAUAUAUCGGAACGUGCCCAGUGAUGGGGGAUAGCCCGGCGAAAGCCGGAUUAAUACCGCAUACGACCUACGGGUGAAAGCAGGGGAUCGCAAGACCUUGCGUCAUUGGAGCGGCCGAUAUCAGAUUAGCUUGGGUGGGGUAAAGCCUACCAAGGCGACGAUCUGUAGCUGGUCUGAGAGGACGACCAGCCACACUGGGACUGAGACACGGCCCAGACUCCUACGGGAGGCAGCAGUGGGGAAUCUUGCGCAAUGGGCGAAAGCCUGACGCAGCGACGCCGCGUGAGGGAUGACGGCCU